rnacentral:misc_RNA from 1 species
UGGCUCUCGCAUCGAUGAAGAACGCAGCGAAAUGCGAUAAGUAAUGUGAAUUGCAGAAUUCAGUGAAUCAUCGAAUCUUUGAACGCACCUUGCGCUCCUUGGUAUUCCGAGGAGCAUGCCCGUUUGAGUGUCGUGAAACCAUCAACCUCCUCCAGCUUUUUUUUGCUCCGGGGGACGGUUUGGAGUUGAGGGUUUUUGUGUCGGGCGGGCCCCACCGUCCGACUCCCUCGAAAGCCAUUGGCCUUCUCGUGACCCCCCUCCGAUGCCGCAUGGCGUGAUAGGCAAUAUCUACGUCACCGCGGACGAGGUCGUCCGGAGGUCUUCCUUUUGCUUGGCCGGCGAGGCUUUGCAAAAAAACCCCACUUUUCCACUUUGACCUCAAAUCGGGUAGGACUACCCGCUGA